GAUGAAGAACGUAGCGAAAUGCGAUAAGUAGUGUGAAUUGCAGAAUUCCGUGAAUCAUCGAAUCUUUGAACGCACAUUGCGCCUUCUGGUAUUCCGGAAGGCAUGCCUGUUCGAGAGUCAUUAACAACCGUUUCGAUCCCUUUCUUUCAGAAAUUACAAAGAGGAAAAGGGUUUGGUUAUGGUGGUGGAGGGAAAGGGAGCGUUUAGCCUGUAAAAAAAGAGGCUGUGUUCCGCCUCCCCCCCAAAAUUGUACAGGCGGUCGUGUGCGCCCACGCAUCGAGGUGUUGUAAAAGCUGCCACGGCACUUUUCACCUGUGCAGUGCGAGAUUGGCCAGCCGGUUUAAAAACCCCUCCACACAAUCACAGGUUGACCUCGGAUCAGGUAGGGAUACCCGCUGAACUUAAGCAUAUCAAUAAGCGGAGGA
rnacentral:misc_RNA from 1 species